rnacentral:snoRNA from 1 species
UGUGUGUGUGCUUGUUCGACUGGUGGACAAAUGUAUGAAAGACAGGCACAAAAAUAAAUCCCCUUUUGCAACCUAGAACUCAUUGUUCGAUAUGAAUUUUGAUGCGUACAAGGACUGUGGAGC